rnacentral:ribozyme from 1 species
UGCCCAGCAACUCCUAUCCUUAGCUCCUCGCGCUAGUGGCCGGGGUACGAGUAACCUUAGGGAAGAUCGGGUAAUUAACCCCCGGUAGGAACUUUGGUCGUAUGCUGACAGGGAAGG